rnacentral:rRNA from 1 species
AUUGAACGCUGGCGGCAGGCCUAACACAUGCAAGUCGAGCGGCAGCGGGAAAGUAGCUUGCUACUUUUGCCGGCGAGCGGCGGACGGGUGAGUAAUGCCUGGGGAUCUGCCCAGUCGAGGGGGAUAACUACUGGAAACGGUAGCUAAUACCGCAUACGCCCUACGGGGGAAAGCAGGGGACCGUCGGGCCUUGCGGGAUUGGAUGAACCCAGGUGGGAUUAGCUAGUUGGUGAGGUAAUGGCUCACCAAGGCGACGAUCCCUAGCUGGUCUGAGAGGAUGAUCAGCCACACUGGAACUGAGACACGGUCCAGACUCCUACGGGAGGCAGCAGUGGGGAAUAUUGCACAAUGGGGAAACCCUGAUGCAGCCAUGCCGCGUGUGUGAAGAAGGCCUUCGGGUUGUAAAGCACUUUCAGCGAGGAGGAAAGGUUGGUAGCUAAUAACUGCCAGCUGUGACGUUACUCGCAGAAGAAGCACCGGCUAACUACGUGCCAGCAGCCGCCGUAAAAC